rnacentral:rRNA from 1 species
AGUGAACGCUGGCGGUAGGCCUAGCAUAUGCAAGUCGAACGGCAGCACAGUAAGAGCUUGCUCUUACGGGUGGCGAGUGGCGGACGGGUGAGGAAUACAUCGGAAUCUACUUUUUCGUGGGGGAUAACGUAGGGAAACUUACGCUAAUACCGCAUACGACCUACGGGUGAAAGCAGGGGAUCUUCGGACCUUGCGCGAUUGAAUGAGCCGAUGUCGGAUUAGCUAGUUGGCGGGGUAAAGGCCCACCAAGGCGACGAUCCGUAGCUGGUCUGAGAGGAUGAUCAGCCACACUGGAACUGAGACACGGUCCAGACUCCUACGGGAGGCAGCAGUGGGGAAUAUUGGACAAUGGGCGCAAGCCUGAUCCAGCCAUACCGCGUGGGUGAAGAAGGCCUUCGGGUUGUAAAGCCCUUUUGUUGGGAAAGAAAAGCAGCAGGUUAAUACCCCGCUGUUCUGACGGUACCCAAAGAAUAAGCACCGGCUAACUUCGUG